rnacentral:rRNA from 1 species
ACGCAAUAGAUACCCUGGUAGUCCACGCCGUAAACGAUGGAUACUAGCUGUUGGAGGUAUCGACCCCUUCAGUAGCGAAAGCUAACGCGUUAAGUAUCCCGCCUGUGGGGUACGGUCGCAAGACUAAAACAUAAAGGAAUUGACGGGGAUCAGCACAAGCGGUGGAUUAUGCUCUUUAAUUCGAUGCUAACCGAUGAACCUUACCAGGGUUUGACAUCCCGAUAGCCGAACUUCGAAAGAAGUUUUUCAUUUAGUUGGAUCGGUGACAGGUGUUGCAUGGCCGUCGUCAGCUCGUGUCGUGAGAUGUUAGGUUAAGUCCUUCAACGAGCGCAACCCUUGUGAAUAGUUGUAUUUUUCUAUUCAGACUGCCUUAGUAAUAGGGAGGAAGGAGGGGAUGAUGUCAGGUCAGUAUUACCCUUACAUCCUGGGCUAGAAGCAUAAUACAAUGGCCGGUACAAUGCGCAGCAAAGCCGCGAGGUGGAGCAAAUCGCAUCAAAGCCGGUCCCAGUUCGGAUUGGAGGCUGAAACUCGCCUCC